rnacentral:lncRNA from 1 species
UGGGAGGGCGGAUUGGGGUGCCGGGGGGGGCGAGGGGGGGCAGCAAGGACCCCCCCCCCACCCCCACCCCGCACCCCUUCUAACGGGGGGGUGGCGCAGACGUGGCGGUGGGGGCGCCGCUGGGGGCCGAGGGCCGGCAGGGCCUGGUCUACGUCUACGGGGGGAGCGGGGCCGGGCUGCGCCCCCAGCCCAGCCAGGUGCUGCGGGGCCUCUGGGCGCCCGGCCGCCACCCCGACUUCUUCGGAGCCGCCCUGCGCGGGGCCACCGACCUCGACGGCAACGGCUACCCCGACCUCCUGGUGGGCGCCUUCGGGGUGGACACGGCCGUGGUGUACAGGGGCCGCCCCAUCGUCCACGCCAGCGCCUCGCUCAGCGUCGUCCCCACCAUGUUCAACCCCGAGGAGCGCGGCUGCGUCCUCGAGGGCACCGAGCUCCACGUCCCCUGGUGGGUGGCACCCUGGGGUGGCACCCUUGGGUGGGGGGGGAGGGUUGUGGCACCCUUGGGGGG